rnacentral:rRNA from 1 species
GUAGGUGGCAAGCGUUGUCCGGAAUUAUUGGGCGUAAAGCGCGCGCAGGCGGUUCUUUAAGUCUGAUGUGAAAGCCCACGGCUCAACCGUGGAGGGUCAUUGGAAACUGGAGAACUUGAGUACAGAAGAGGAAAGCGGAAUUCCACGUGUAGCGGUGAAUGCGUAGAGAUGUGGAGGAACACCAGUGGCGAAGGCGGCUUUCUGGUCUGUAACUGACGCUGAGGCGCGAAAGCGUGGGGGAGCAAACAGGAUUAGAUACCCUGGUAGUCCACGCCGUAAACGAUGAGUGCUAAGUGUUAGGGGGUUUCCGCCCCUUAGUGCUGCAGCUAACGCAUUAAGCACUCCGCCUGGGAGUACGGCCGCAAGGCUG